AAAGCAGGUAGCAAUUACAGUGCUUCAUUUUGUGGGAGUACUGCCAUUAUCCUGCUGACAGAAAAACCAUGUUGAUUGAUGUGGAUUUUUGCCUUUUCUUGGGGUAAAAAUCAUGACACCUCGACAUGGACAGUU